CUACCCUGUGGAUCCGGGCUUUU
rnacentral:miRNA from 1 species